UAGCUUGCUACUUUGCUGUCGAGUGGCGGACGGGUGAGUAAUGCUUGGGAAUAUGCCAAAACGUGGGGGACAACAGUUGGAAACGACUGCUAAUACCGCAUAAUGUCUUCGGACCAAAGCAGGGGACCUUCGGGCCUUGCGCGUUUUGAUUAGCCCAAGUGGGAUUAGCUAGUUGGUAAGGUAAUGGCUUACCAAGGCGACGAUCCCUAGCUGGUCUUAGAGGAUGACCAGCCACACUGGAACUGAGACACGGUCCAGACUCCUACGGGAGGCAGCAGUGGGGAAUAUUGCACAAUGGAGGAAACUCUGAUGCAGCCAUGCCGCGUGUGUGAAGAAGGCUUUCGGGUUGUAAAGCACUUUCAGUGGGGAGGAAAGGGUGCUGGUUAAUAGCCAGUAUCUGUGACGUUACCCACAGAAGAAGCACCGGCUAACUCCGUGCCAGCAGCCGCGGUAAUACGGAGGGUGCG
rnacentral:rRNA from 1 species